CGGGCCUUCAUAUGUCAUCAUCACAUCGUCAUCGUCAUCGUCAUCGAAGGUUCAUGUGAUAAAACAAACCUUAGUCAAAAACUCAAUUUCUAAAUCCAAUCUCAUUUUAACUAUAACUUCUCACUCAACGUCUAUUUACCCAUUAAAACUCAAUCCCUAGGUAUACUCGGCUUCUAAGGAUUCACAGUCUUAUUAUCGACUUAACUCUCAACUUGGCUCAAAC
rnacentral:lncRNA from 1 species